AUGGAGCUGGAGACCCAGUGGUGGCGAGGACAGCUGGCCGCCGACAUCCACCAAGUGCUUCGGUACAAGGAACUGAAGUUACCAUCCUAUAAAGGCCAGUCGUCUCAACUAAGUCUCAGACGCUAUUUUGCUGACCUGAUUGCCAUUGUGGGCAAUCGCUUCUCUCUCUGCCCUUCUGCCCGAUAUCUUGCCGUGUAUUUACUAGACCUGUUUAUGGAUCGCUAUGUCAUCUCUAUCCAACAGCUGCAUUUAGUUGCGCUCUCCUGCCUGCUUCUAGCAAGUGAAUUUGAAGAAAAAGAAGAUAGUGUGCCUAAGUUGGAGCAGCUCAAUAAACUCAGCAACCUGGAGUCCAAUUUUCAGUAUUUUAACUACCUCAAAUACGCUAUGAAUUGGAACCUCUGCCUUCCAACAGCCGCCCAUUUCAUUGAAUAUUAUCUCUCUGAAGCAGUACAUGAAACAGAUCUCCAUGAUGGUUGGCCAAUGAUUUGUUUGGAAAAAACUAAACUCUACAUGGCCAAAUAUGCGGAUUACUUCCUCGAAGUAUCUUUGCAAGAUUAUGCCUUUCUAAAUUAUGCACCUUCUUUAGUAGCUGCUGCAUGUGUGACUUCUUCAAGGAUUAUACUUCGUCUUUCUCCAACGUGGCCUACAAGACUACAUCGUCUAGACUGCUUACUCCUGGGAUUUCCUAGUGCAGUGCAUUGAACGACUGUUGAUUGCUCAUGAUAACGAUGUGAAAGAAGCAAACAAACAGAGAGGGCAGGCAGGACCUCAGUCGGCACAACUCAGUGUGUUCCAGGCAACUUCCCAGCCCUCACUGCCAAUUCAUUUUCAACAACCCCAGUAUCUCCAUCAGACGCAUCAGACUUCACUGCAGUAUCGCCAUCCUGCAUCAGAACAACCAAGCUGUCAGGAGAUCGUAUCUACCACACACACCUCAUCUUACACUUUACAGACAUGUCCUGCUGGCUUCCAGACCAGUGUUCAGGGCCUUGGACACGUGCAGACUAGUGCUGGGAUGUCACUAGCAAUACCAGUAAAAGUUAAGCCCUGCCUGAGUGUCACUUAUAACCAGAGUUAUCAGAUAAAUGAACAUUAUCCUUGCAUUACUCCAUGCUUUGAAAGGUGAUUACGUAUAAGGAUAAAACCUAACUACAUCUAUUUUACUACUUGAAACUCUGGGGGAAAACUGUUUUAAAACUUCUCUUCAAAAGAAAAGGGUGGAGUGGCAGCAGACCUUCAGAUAGCGCUCCAGUAGGAUGGACUGUCCUUUCCGUGCAGCAUGAACACCUGGGAAGAUUAAGCUCUGGAAACACUUUAAUAGUGUGACAUCAAAUCUUGUUAAAUCCUAUAUGACAAAUAUGUUCAAGCCCUGGCUGAUGGUCCAGAGAUUUCACACAUAAUCAAUACAACAGAAAGUUUGGACCAACUUCAGUUUGCCAUAUUGAGAUUUGACCUGUGGUGGGCCCUAAGCCUAAUGUUGCUUCUGUGUCAGAGACUAACACUUAUCUGUGGACUUGCCAAACAGUCUUUAAUGAAGGAAAGUUACAG